CGUAAAAAAACCUUCCAACUAAGUUUUCAACAUUAUAAACCGUUAAUGUAUGUCACCUUCCGUCACCGUUUUUUAGACGGAGGGUAACAUAUGUUAACGAAAUUAAAGUUUAGGGUUUAUUUCACAGAAUUUUUAGUUGAGGGUUUGUUUUACGAUUAAUCUUUAGUUGAGUGGUUUAAUUACUAAAAACACUUCAAAUAGUUUUGUCUCUUCUCAAAUCGAACGAGUGGAAUUACCAUUUUACUCUCUCAUACAAAAGGAGGAAUAAAAAUCGAAACUUGAGAAGAUGACGUUGGGGCGAUCACUGGUGAAGCACGCCAACCAUAUGAUACAAAGACAGAAGGCAAGAAUCUCCAGAAGAAGGGUCUUGAAUCAGUCAGUGACAUGGACGCGAUCAUCGAGCAGGUGGAGGAGGCAGAGGCAGAGCGUCUUUUCACCAUUAAUCAUAGCAACACCAAUCUGUUCUCUUCUUUUGUGUCAGUUGAUUGAAAUAGACAUUUGUAGCUCAGCUUGCACUGAAUCUUCUUUGAGCUCUCUUUGUUGAGAACAUAUGUGCUCACUACCCGGUUUAUCUAAUGUUUUUUUUGGUACCUCUUAUUAACAGAGACACGAGUUCCAGCUCAGGUACUAUAGCAGCUGAAGGGAGCAACAGAAGAUAGAAGAGGCUUUACAUGCUAGCAGUCUUGAUUACAUGUAAUCAGUGAUGACUAUCUUGUGAUGUAAUUUUACCUGUUUUAAUAGGUUAUAGCUCAUCUUCUGAAGCCUCGUGUGUGGAGGAAGCCUUCAGUUAGACGCCAGUUCUUCCUAGACUGCAAUGAAAUAGCUGAUCUUUGCGAUAGUGCAGAGCGUAAGCGAACCAACUGUAUUACAGCUUAGAGCUCCUAUCAAAAUUAUUUGGUGAUCUCCAUGGACAGUUUGGGGGCCUUAUGCGCCUUUUUGAUGAAUACGGUUCACCUUCCACAGCUGGAGACACUUCAUACAUCGAUUACCUCUUCUUAGGUGACUAUUUUGAUAGAGAAGAAAAUUAUAUGUAUGCAUGGGGGUAUUGGUCGUUCUAUAUAUCAUGUGGAGAAGAUUGAGAAUAUAAUUACAAUGGACGCUGGCUCCAUUGUGCUCAUGGAUUUAUUAUGUGUUGAAGGUUUAAGACCCAAUGCUAGAGGCCCUGGAUUGGUUACUUUUGGGAUAUCUUGUAGUGGUUCCUAAGCUCAUUCAUCCGUUUUGCCUCCAGCAAUUUCAUCCACUGAAAGGACAUAUAGAAGACGCAUGGAUGCUGGAGCUGAACGCAAAUAGGCCAGCGACACCAACCAGAGGACGCCCACUACAAAUGACAAAGGAGGUUCUCUGGCUUCGAUGUAAGGUUGAAGAAGAGGCACUCAUGCACAUCUGCCUCCUGGUGUUCCACCUCAUGUUUGUGUACAGAAAAGAUGAGGUCUGGAGAAAUCAGCAGGGGUGUAAAUUGAGAUGACAGAAAGGGUAGAGAAGUCAGUUUUGGUGGUGGUUUGGUAGUAGUGAUCUGUAGAGUUUAUUCUUUCGGGCUUUUUAGUCUCUUUUCAAUAUUUACUCGAUCUGUUUUCUGUAAUGUAUCUUUUUAUUUAUCUGUAUCAUAUAGACGUUGGGGCUUUUGUGUAUUUUUAUUGUUUUAUUAACUCACAAUUUUGUAACGUUUUUGUUGAUAAUAUCAUGUUCA